UCCACCUCCCACCCGUGUCUAUCGUACCUUGUUGCUUCGGCGGGCCCGCCGUUUCGACGGCCGCCGGGGAGGCCUUGCGCCCCCGGGCCCGCGCCCGCCGAAGACCCCAACAUGAACGCUGUUCUGAAAGUAUGCAGUCUGAGUUGAUUAUCGUAAUCAGUUAAAACUUUCAACAACGGAUCUCUUGGUUCCGGCAUCGAUGAAGAACGCAGCGAAAUGCGAUAAGUAAUGUGAAUUGCAGAAUUCAGUGAAUCAUCGAGUCUUUGAACGCACAUUGCGCCCCCUGGUAUUCCGGGGGGCAUGCCUGUCCGAGCGUCAUUGCUGCCCUCAAGCACGGCUUGUGUGUUGGGCCCCCGUCCCCCUCUCCCGGGGGACGGGCCCGAAAGGCAGCGGCGGCACCGCGUCCGGUCCUCGAGCGUAUGGGGCUUUGUCACCUGCUCUGUAGGCCCGGCCGGCGCCAGCCGACACCCAACUUUAUUUUUCUAAGGUUGACCUCGGAUCAGGUAGGGAUACCCGCUGAACUUAAGCAUAUCAAUA
rnacentral:rRNA from 1 species